rnacentral:tRNA from 1 species
GGAAGCGUGGCAGAGUGGCCGAUUGCACCGGUCUUGAAAACCGGCGAUGGGAAACUAUCCGUGAGUUCGAAUCUCACCGCUUCCGCCA